GACUAUAUAUUAAAUGGGGUUUUAUACUAAAACUGGAAUGAUACAGAAAAGAUUAUCAUGGCCCCUGAGCAAGGAUGACUUUGAGGUGUUAAAGAAAAGAAUGUUUCCU
rnacentral:snRNA from 1 species